rnacentral:rRNA from 8 species
AGUUAGGUGAGAAGACCCGCUGAAUUUAAGCAUAU